rnacentral:rRNA from 1 species
UACAGAGGGUGCGAGCGUUAAUCGGAAUUACUGGGCGUAAAGGGCUCGUAGGCGGCCAACUAAGUCGGAUGUGAAAUCCCCAGGCUUAACCUGGGAACUGCAUCCGAUACUGGAUGGCUUGAAUCCGGGAGAGGGAUGCAGAAUUCCUGGUGUAGCGGUGAAAUGCGUAGAUAUCAGGAGGAACACCUGCGGUGUAGACAGCAUGCUGGACCAUUUCUGACGCUGAGGCACGAAAGCGUGGGGUAGCAAACAGG